GAGAAUUAGAGGAGAAGAACGAUCGAGGUAGUACCCAAAGUAGUUUCACAAUAUGAACACGCAUGCGACCCAUCUUUCUAUUUUAAAAAUAGGACUGCUGCUGCUAAGUCACUUCAGUCAUGUCCAGACUCUGUGUGACCCCAGAGACGGCAGCCACCAGGCUCCCCCAUCCCUGGGAUUCUCCAGUGAAAACCUGCCUCUUUUAUUUAGGUCUUAAAUUCGUUAUGUGUCAGGGAUUGUCCACCCAGAUGUAGCAUUCUGCAGAAAACCCUGCCACCCUGCUUGCCCCAGGAGCUGGAGAAUUUGUGACUUUCGAGAAAAAGAGCAAGCCAAAGAAUUUUUUCCCAGCUCCCUUCAAGCAAGAAGUUUACUUCUGUGAACACUUCUGUGUUCCUAUUGAGCUGAGGCCUACAACUUCGCCCAUGAGAAUGCAGUUCUCGGAUGGGAAGCUUCUGGCUUCCCAAGACUUGAGUGGCCCAAGAUGAAUUUUUGUGGAGAUGGAAAAAUUUCUAGGCAGUCCCAGAUCAGCGGGAGCACUGCCAUGACACAAUUGAAAGGACUCUUACUCCUGCUGGACAGCAUUGCUGCCUCUGCCUUUCCGGACAGCGCCUCCGAACCCAGCUGCCCUCCAGCUGCCUUUCUGGUCUACGUCGUCUCUCACAAGGCUCUUCACAGGCGGCUGAAGACUCCCAGCCUCUGGACAGACCCUCACUCCUCCUAGCCCCCUCCUCCCCAGCCCCCUCCUCCCUCCACCUCCCAGAGCCCCUGGCUGGGUCAUAUGGGGCAGGUCAGCACCCUGGGGGUCAACACGUCCAGAAUGGGAGGCUGGGCGUGGCGGAAUGUCAGUGUGAGCCCAGCUGCAUGGUUGUCUUUAAAAGGACUUUGAGAACCUUAAGACUGCUUGGAA